UACAGAGGGGGCAAGCGUUAUUCGGAAUUAUUGGGCGUAAAGGGCGCGUAGGCGGCUUGGUAAGUGGAUGGUGAAAUCCCUCGGCUUAACCGAGGAACGGCCGUCCAAACUGCUUCGCUUGAGACCGGGAGAGGUGAGUGGAAUUCCCAGUGUAGCGGUGAAAUGCGUAGAGAUGCGGAGGAACACCGAUGGCGAAGGCAGCCCCCUGGGCCAACACUGACGCUCAGGCACGAAAGCGUGGGGAGCAAACAGG
rnacentral:rRNA from 1 species